UCACACAGGUUAGCCUGAGACAGCCCACUUCACACAGUUAGCCUGAGACAGCCCACAUCACACAGAAGGCUAGAGUAGUGGCCGAAGUAAGAGUGGGGGUAUAUCUGGGUCUGGCCCCUCUGUGGCCCCCCAUCCUGAGGUUGUGCCAGCCAGUCUCAAGGAUCCUAGACGUAUAGGCCAUGGGUUUCUCGGGACAGCCUCAUGUGGACCAUGCAGUGGACACCGCUGGCCACCCUCAGUGGUCACCCAUCUGAAAAUGCAUGCACCAAGAUGUUGGAGAUAAGCACCGAGUCACCUCACUUAGCUGCAAGGCUUCAUUUCCCACCGGGACUCCAGGCUGACUUUUGGGAAUGGUCCAAACGCAUGGUCCAAAAACAACCAGAGAAGGGUGAGGUUUGCCUUCACCCAGCGUCACUGCAGGAUCAUUCUCUACCCUCCACCUACUGAUGACCCCACAUCCCAGGAGGCCACUGAGAGGCUGCAAGGGACAUUCCUCAGCCUCAGAGCCACAACGAGCCAGAUCACCAGAGAGGAGUUGACCCCUUUCCAAGCCCCACGGCUUCCAUAUCCAGGAACUAUUUCACCAGUGACUUAUGACUUCCUCAGAUGUCACUGAACCAGCUCCCACGGAAAGCCCGUGGGAGACAAAGGAGAAUGAAAAACUGCCCCAUCCCAGUCUGGUGGUGACAGGGGCUCCUUCAGGGACCAUCUAGUCAAACAUUGUCAUCUCAGAGACAGAGAGAAUGCAGGACACAGAUGGGCAGCCAGAACUCAAGUCUUGGCUGGGAACACUAUUUCACAUGCAAGGUGCCUGACAUGUAAGCACAAAUGUUGGGGUGUUAAGUUAGCAAAUGCAUUCAGAUGGAGCCAAAGAACACCUGCUCACCCCUACAACAGCACCAGCUCAACGGAAUCUGAAGGAUGCCUGCAUGCAUGCAUGCAGCAUGCAGAAAUGACCGCAGCUGGGACUGCCCUGAACCAGCUCACUGCUCACUUUGGGGACAGACAGUACAUCAAAUCAUGACAGCAAACAUGCCAUAAGUGUCCUAACGACGUGGUCAUGUAAGCCACACUCAGGACUGCAGCACUGUGGUAUGAAGUACAGUCAAUAUGCAGUCCAAACACAAACAGUUCCAGCAAAGCAGUGCAAGUUCUUGAGAAGCCUCAGCACUAUCUGGGAACAGGGCAAGAAGGGCCCGGAAGGAGAAAUGAGGUCCAGCCAAGCAGGGACAUCCACAGAUCUGCUGCUAGGAGAAGGAUCCCCCAGCACGGGAGCCAGCUGCAGCGUGGACGGUGCAGUGUGUGGACAUGCCCAAGGAGGGACUGGAUGUUGGAAGAGCAUGAACAGACACUUCAUGUGUUAGAAUACCUCCAGUUUCUUUGUCUCCAAUGGACUUGGCCUGGGAAGUCAUUUAUGGGACUCUUAGAUCCACAAACAUGUCCUUGCAUUCUUUUUCUUAUUGAGACAGACAAUAUUCCUAAGUUUGGAAGCCUGAGAUGACUUUUACCAGAAUUCUAGCAAAGCUCAGGGCCUGAAAUAUCAAACCAGACCUUGGAACUGACAGAGCUGAGGCACUACCUGCAGAAUCCAAAUGUUUGCUACAAACUUUCUGACAAAACAGGGCUGAUGCUCUACGUCAGAACCAACCCUGUCCCA